CCUACGGGAGACAGCAGUGAGGAAUAUUGGUCAAUGGUCGGGAGACUGAACCAGCCAAGCCGCGUGAGGGAUGAAGGUCCAGAGUAUCGUAAACCUCUUUUGUCAGGGAACAAAGGCGGGGACGUGUCCCCGGCUGAGUGUACCUGACGAACAAGCAUCGGCUAACUCCGUGCCAGCAGCCGCGGUAAUACGGAGGAUGCGAGCGUUAUCCGGAUUUAUUGGGUUUACGGGGUGCGCAGGCGGUCUGUUAAGUCAGCGGUCAAAGCCCGGGGCUCAACCCCGGCCCGCCGUUGAAACUGGCAGUCUCGAGUUGGAGAGAAGUAGGCGGAAUGCGCGGUGUAGCGGUGAAAUGCAUAGAUAUCGCGCAGAACUCCGAUUGCGAAGGCAGCAUGCCGGCUCCACACUGACGCUGAGGCACGAAAGCGUGGGUAUCGAACAGGAUUAGAUACCCUUGUAGUC
rnacentral:rRNA from 1 species